CGAAAGCCUGACGGAGCAAUACCGCGUGAGGGAGGAAGGUUCUUGGAUUGUAAACCUCUUUUCUCAGGGAAGAAAAAAAUGACGGUACCUGAGGAAUAAGCAUCGGCUAACUCCGUGCCAGCAGCCGCGGUAAUACGGGGGAUGCAAGCGUUAUCCGGAAUUAUUGGGCGUAAAGAGUCCGUAGGUGGUUCAGCAAGUCUAUUGUCAAAGGUCGGAGCUUAACUCCGGAAAGGCAGUGGAAACUGUUGAACUAGAGUAUGGUAGGGGUAGAGGGAAUUCCCAGUGUAGCGGUGAAAUGCGUAGAUAUUGGGAAGAACACCGGUGGCGAAAGCGCUCUACUGGACCAUAACUGACACUCAGGGACGAAAGCCAAGGUAGCG
rnacentral:rRNA from 1 species